GCACUGCUGAUGAGUCCCAUAAUAGAACAAAACCGCCGUCCAGUAC
rfam:Schistosoma mattheei strain Denwood, Zambia genome assembly, scaffold: SMTD_scaffold0000913